rnacentral:sRNA from 1 species
UUAUUAUAAUAUAAUAUAAGUAAAAUAAUAUAACAAAUUCAAAAAUAAUAUAUUAAAUCCAAAGAAGGAGACUUUGAAUUAAAUCCUUUUUUAUUAUAAAAUAAGCCGGGUGAUUUUAUAUAUUUUGUAUUAGAGGGCUAGCAUUUUAAUUUGGGGUUUAUAACAGACCGGCUCGUUUAUAUAAACUAAAACUAGACAUAUAUAUAAAUAUAUUAUAUAACCUCCCUAAAAUAUAUAAUAGAAACGUAUAUUUUAAUAAGCAAGAUAUAUUUUAAGUAACCCACUUUUAUAAAGUUAAAGUUUUAUUAACUUUGCACUAAAAUAUUAUAUGCGUGUAGCAAAACCUUAUAAUAUAAUCGACGAGAUAUUUGCUAAAUAUAAAUAUUGCGGGACUUUAAUUACUAAAUUUGUACGUACUUUAAAAAAAACAAUAUUACGUGCAGAUUUAAUAGUGCCUAAAUAUUAGCUAUAGCCGUAGGGGCUAGGUUUUGCUAAAUUUGUAAAUUUGCAUAAUAUAAACGCAAUAGGAACGCCGCUUAUAAAUAAAAGUUCCUAAAUUGUAAAAUUUGCAGGUUAAUUUCAAAUUUUUAAAAUUUAAUUCUCGAUCCAAAUAUUAUUAUUAAAAUAUUAUUAUAAGUUAUUAUAUUUAAUUAUAAUAUUUUGGUUUUUAUUUAUUAAUAAAUAUUAAAUUUGUACGCGUUCCCAGCCGUAAUAAUUUAAAUAUCUCCUCAGGGUAUUUUUAUUAUAAUUAAUAAUUAUUCCAGCGAAUUGUGAAAAAUUAUUAAACCUGUAAUUAAUUGCGACGUGAAAAAAAAUUACGCAAAUUCAAAAGUUAUAAAAAGUUUAUAUAAAAAAACUGGAUUUCCAAUGGAAAACCAAAGAUUUUUAAAAACAAUUCUAAUUUUUUAUUUAAAAACGCACUAAUUUUGUAAAGAUAAAAGUAAAUUUUUUUUUUAAAAUAUCCCAUUUUUAUCCUAAAAUUAAAUCUAUUAUAAAAAUACCAAAAUUAUUAAUUAUUACAAAUAUAAGAAAUAUAUAAAAUAGCAUUUAAUUAUUAUUAUUCAAGACACGCAAAAACUUUAAAAGGUUUUUAAUUUUAUUAAUUGUGUUUUAAAACCGUUGUAAUAGUUAUAUUUUGGGGCUUUUAAAGUUUAAUUGGACGUGCCGCUACCGAAUUUAAUAGGAGCAACUUUGUUAAAUAAAUAAACACGUUUACUAAAAUUAAUAAAACCAAAUUAAAUUAUUAUUAAAACAAAUUAAAUAUUUUAUGAAAUAAUUCUAUUUAAUUUCCAUAUUUACUUUUUACAGUUAAAAUACCAUAUAAAUAAGAGAAUAUAAGAACCCAGUUUUAUAAUUUGUCACGUAUUUGCCCGACAAUAUAAUAAAUACAACAAUAGAUUGAAAGAUCUUGCAAUACCUGCACUUAGCAAAUACCUCGUCGGUCCUAAUUAUAGGUCUUUGCUACACGAACGUAAUAUAAUUCUCUAAUAUAUUAAUAUUUAAAUGAAAAGAUAUUUUGUUAUUUAUUAUAAUAUUAUAUUUUUACGCGCGAUUAAAUAAUAAUAUGGGAAUAAGAUAUUAAAGUAAUAUUAAAAAUAAAAGAUAAAACGUUAAAAAUAACUUAACAACCCAUUUUUCUAAUAAAAAAACCCCAAAAGCCAAGAAAAACGGAAAAAGAAAAUUGGAAAUUAUAUGAAAUAAUUCCUCCUCACGCAAAAAUAAAAACCGAAGCAAAAGGAAAUAGCAGAGAUUUAAGUGAAAAUUAAAUCAAAUAUAAACCUAAGGAAAGAAAAUGCAAAUCCGGAAAAUCCGAAAGUUUUAAAAAUUGGAAAAAUUAAAAAAAAGAAAAUUGUAAAAUAAUUAUUUUAAUAUUAUCCUUAUAGUAAUAACACGCAUUUUGCUAAUUAUUAAUUAAAAAGGUUUUUGGGGUUGACCAAAUAAUAAACCAAAAUUUCAAAUUAAUUUAAAUUAAAAAACCUUUAAAAUUUAAAUGGCUAAAAAUAAAAAUACGCAAAAUAAUCCGGUUCAAAAAUUUAUUACCACGGUUAUUAGCAAAUUUAAUAUUCUAAUAUUACCCCAACGUCCCAUAUUUCCAAUAGUGGUUCCUUUUUUAAAUUUACCUAAAAUUAUAAUAAAAAAUUGUUAUAAAUAUUAAUCCAAAAAUUAAUUUAAAUAAUAUAAUUUUAUAUUAUAAUAUUAAUUAACUGUACAAAUAUAAUAAAUACUAACUAUUAUUAAUAUAAAAUAAAACGAAAUUAUAAUGAAUAGGAUUUAUUUUAUACUAUUAUAAAUUACCAAUUUUUACAAUAGUUUUAAACAGGUGGGAAAUUUAUAUAUAUUUAUAUAAAAAAGUAAAAACAACCCUCUUAUUAUUUGGGGAAAGCUGGUUUUAUUAAUAAAAUUAUUGUUAUAAAUACUUUUACUUGCUAAUAAUAAUUCGAAAUAAUAAGGAGCAUUUCUAAAUAUAUAAUAGCGUAAAAGAAGUUUUAUACUUAGUUCGUGUUUAUAUAUAAGUUUAUAUAAUUAAAUCCCCCUACAAAGUAUUUGUUUCUUAUUUUAUUUUACAAAAACUAAAAAAGAUUUUUUCCAAGCGGAAAAUAGUUAUAUUUUGAAAGAUAUUAAUAGUACUAGGAUAUUUGUUGUUGAAAAUAUAAAUUAAAAAUAUACCGGAUAAUAUUUACGCGGUAUUUUCUAUUAAUAUAAUUAAAGAAAAACCACUGCGCAUUUACUUAUAUAUUUUGUAUUAUUUGAAAACUUCCGUCAAUUUUAAAUAUAUUAAAAAACCCCAAGAUUUAAACAUAUCCGCAAAUCCAAGACUUUUGCAAAUAUAUUUAUUUCUUCUGUUUUUAAAAAAAUAAAAUCUUGCGUUUUUGCACAAAUUUUCGAAAUUUAAGUUCGGUUACCAAAGAACAGGUAUUUUUUGCAGCUAAUUGCAAAGAUUAUAAAUUGUGUGCAAAAUUUCUAUUAACUUAACAAGUUGGAUAUUUAAAAUAUAUAUUUUAAAAUCCGUAUUAGGAUAAAAAAUAAAUGGAAAAUUGUUAUUUUGCAUUUAUUAUUAAUGUUUUACAUAUAUUAUUAUAUGCUUUUGGUUUUUCAACUAUUCCAGCGAUUUUCCAAAAGGAUAUAUU